AUUUGUAUCUUCCAGCACCCAAAAGUAGAAGGUUUUACUAAGAAAGCACUAUGAGAGGAGCAUAUUUAAAGCAAAGCAGAACAGAAGACUUAUGCUGUCUGCUAUGUGUGCUUCAAGAAGCCUGCAGUAGUAAAAGUCUGAAGGAUUAGAAACACAGCCAGAGUCAAAGAAACCUCCAAGAGGGCACUUUGGACCUAGCAGUUAUCUUACAGAAGGAAAUGUAGAACAAGAUGUGCAGAUUUGGAGACGAUGUGGAACUGACAACCUGAGAAAUGCCAUCCAUAAAGGAAGGCAGUGACUCAGAAGCCAGAGGAGGUCACUGAGGGAAGAAAGCCCAGGCCAGAAUAGAUCCCCAGGACACAUUUGCAAAGAGCUAAAAAUAGGAGAAAUACCUUAGUUUUUGCACAAAAAGGAAAGUUGCUAGAUUUGAAGAAUAAAAGUGUGAACAUU